rnacentral:pre_miRNA from 1 species
CAACACCCGCAGGCUGGCCUGUCCCCAGGUUGGGCUGGGCGAGUGUCUCUUUAAAAGGCUCACCCUCGAGUCCGACUAGGAGC